rnacentral:lncRNA from 1 species
UUCAACCGAUCAUCAAUGAACCACAUCAAAUCGCUAGAAUCUUUGAUGCUCAUAUCCUGCAACCCCUUCUCCCCAGCCUGGCACUGGUACAUGAGGUUUUCCAUCUCUAUUCUCCUGUUCUUCUUCUGUUGUUUUACCAGCUGGUCCUUAGCUUUGGCCACCCUCUGCCUCAUAUAGUUUUAUUGGUUUAACCUCUUCUUGGUCUGGUCGUUCUCUGGCUUGCACUUGAACUCCCUGAUCAUCCGUACUGUCUCCAUUGGAGUUUAAAGCUUUUAAAUUUCCAUGAAUGUGUAAACAGUGGGAGAAGAGCUUUUCCAUUGAUUUUCUAUUCAAGUUGGGCAUAGAGAAGUGUUUUUUAAUUUUUUCUGCAUGAAAUGUUGAAAUUGUUUCUAUGUGUAGAUUACAAUAUAUUAUCUCCCAAAGUCAUGUGUCUCCUAAAAAGCACUCUCAUGUAGGUGAUUUUUUUUUAUUUUUUUUUUUGAGAAUUAAUGGAGUUAUUAUGUUUGGAGUCGGAGUUCCUUUUUUUUACUUUAUUUGUUCUAUAGACACCACAAAAUGAGGGCAUGGCAAAUUUUUCCUGUUGCUUAAUUCAUUCAUCAACCAAAAAGGUUUUUCCAAUCUCUUAAAUCUAAAAAGGAGUGCUCUACCAUUCUUGGUUGAGUUAGAAAACGAUGUUCUACUCUAAUAAUAUUCUGUUAGGCAACCAUUUGGUCUCUUUCCCUUUUAGGUUUCUUUCUUUUUUGUGUUCUUGAAUAGUAUCUCUACUUUAAUGCAACUAGUAAUGAGAAAUUGUAAUAUUUGUAGGGAACAUUGGCUGAUAUAUUUCUAAGGGGCACCAUUUUAAUGACAAAUACUUGAGGGAUGACAUCUUUGGUAAGAGCUCCUUCCUUGCCUCCAUUUGUGUCAUUUUCCCAAGUGUUAUCAUAAUUGUCUUGCUUGAUAGAGCUCCCAUUACAUAUUCUUGGCCAUAACUGGCAUUAGCUUUUCACUCUAAAAAUAAUAAAAUUUAGUAGCAUAAUCACUAGGAAAGAAAACUACACUUACAUUAAAUAGACUAGUUGCAGAAUGUGCAUCAACUGUACUAAAUGGAUCAUCCAAGAGAUAUCCAUUUGCAUCUUAAUAUAAUGCACGUGCCAGUUGAACUCGUUGCUUCUGUCCACAACUCAAAUUAACAUCUCUUUCUCUUAUUCUAGUGAGAUCACUGAAUGGAAGCAUCUCGAUGUCCUUCACUAGGGAAUAGUUUUCAAUCACUUCCCUGUAUCUGUAUGGAUCCAUGGCAGACCCAAAAAGAAUAUUUUCUUGUGUAGUCUCUAUAAUGAUCCAUGCUGCCUGAGAGACAUAAGCCUUCUUUCCAUAUACUUAAACCUAGCAAAUAUGAGUCUAGAAACCAUAUUACUUUUCUAUACUAUCAAUCAACCAUUCUGCUUAAUCAAUGUAUUUACAAAUUUCCUAUCCGACCUGGACCCUUGGGAAAACUUCAAAUUAUCUUCUUUGAAUUUUUAGAUAAAAAAAGACGUCCUAAUAAUUUGUCACUCUUGUCAGCUACUAUAUAUGGUUGUGUCCUUCCUCAUUCUUUGAUUUCAUUUUCUUUCCUACCUAGAUUUUAAAAAGUUUUAUUAAAAAAACCCUUUUCUUUAGUUUAUUCAAAAUAUUUUAUAUUUAAUAGUGAAAAGUAUUAUUAACACUAAAAAAAUAAUUAAUUAGAUUUAUAUUAGCAAAAGAAACCUCUAAAUUAAGUUUACGUUUGGAAGUACUUUUUGUUUUUCAAAUUAGAAAUUUUAUAUAAAAAUAGAAUAUUGUGUAUGAAACAUAGAUAUUUAUCUUUUCUUUUUUUUUUUUUUUAAAGAAAAAUGAUUUUUAGAAAUUUUAGAAUUUGAGAUAGUAAAUUUUUUUAUAUCUUAAUUUUUAAAAUUUUUUUUUUUUUCAAGAUAAUUUUUUUUUUUUAAAGAAAAAAAAAGUUUUAGAAAUUUUAGAGUUUGAGAUAGUAAAUUUUUUUAUAUCUUACUUUUUAAAUUUAUUAUUUUUUUCAAGGUAAUUCUUUAAGAGUUUUUUUUUUAUCUUAUAUAAAUAUUAUUACUAUUUUCUAGUUUUAAAAAUAAAAAUAAAAAGUGUACUAUAGAAACAAACAUUAAUUUGUUAUAAAAAAAAUAUAAAUUAAAUAUAUCCAUUUUUCUCACAUCUUUAAACACACUCCAUUUUGCUAAACCCCUAAAGAAAGUUUCCAAUUUUUAGCAUAAAUAAUUGUGAGCUACCUAUAUUGAAAUUGACUUCUUAUAGGGGUUCUGUUUUCCGUACAUCCACCGUACUUGGACUCCCUCAAACACAUCUACCACCUCCUCAUGACCAUCAAUGCCCCACCAUGGAUCCCAUUUUCUCAAACAUAUCUCUACUUUCCAUACCAUUCUCUCUUCCAAUUUUCUUCUACUCCUCUUAUAUCUAAGAAUGGUUGGUGUAGACAUAGAGAAGGAUUGGUAAUCCUUAUUAGAAUUUGUUUUCCAUUACUAUUUUGAGUUGGAAUCAUCCUCUUUUAGACCAUGUUUUAGAUUUUUAUUUGGUUCUAGCUUUAUUACCAUUUUUUUAUGUUAUGAUUUGUGUGAAAAAAUAUUUGUAAAAAUGCUUCCUUGAAAAUAAAUUUGGAGCUAUUUAGAAUAUUUAUAAUUAUAAUAAAUUUGUGAAAAUAAAUUAUUAUAAUAACCAAAAAUAGUGUCCCUUUUGUAAACUUCUGCUUUGCUUAAUGGAUACGUGGAGAACGUAAUGGAAAAAAAUUAUUACAGCCAAUCCAGAACCCCCUAAAUAUAAUUCCAAUUUCCAAUAGAAAAUGAGGAAGAAAACCAAAUCCCAUUCUCUUUAUAACUUAUACUACUCUCUUGUAAGGAUGAUAAUGCCCAUCUGUCUUGCUAUUAAUUAUAUAUUGAUUAUGCUAUUAAUUAUGUUUGUUGUACUGUUAAGAUAAAUUGGAAUUCAAAAAACCUUCCUUUGUCAAUGUUGCACAUUCGAUGAGGUCUAUUACUAUUAGACGAUGCCUAAUUGAAUAUUUUAAUGGACUAUUGAUGUUGAUAUUCUCUUGUCCCAAACUUGAUUUGUUUUUCUAUUUUCUUUUGGGAUAUACUAAAGAUUUAAUGGAUUAUUGAUGUUAAUGGUCUCUUGUCCCGUAUUUGAUUAAUCUCUUGCUUUGUGUUUUAACUAUUGAUAAUAAUUUUUUUGUAAUUAUUCUUAGGGUCACAUAUGUCAAUUGGUAUACACAUUUGUUUUCCUAUUAUAUUUUUAUUGUCAUUUCUUUAAUUACCAUCUUAUGUAUGCAGAUGCCCUCAUUUCAGUCUAGUAAGAGUUGUAGAUCACAGUUUGACGAUUCUCAUAUGUUCUCAUCUCAUGAUAAGUAAUUUCUUCCUCCAUAGUAAUAGAAGAUAAUAGUUUUAUACAUAAACUAUUUCAAUAUAACAAAUCAAAUUAUUACAUCAUCACCAAUGUUGUUACAUGGAGAAGUUAUGUUUGUUAUUGUUGUAUGAAGAAGAAGCAUGUAAUUUGUGAACUCAAUAAAUCAAAUUAUUAUAUGAUUAUCAUCAAUGUUGUCAUUAUUAUUGUUGUUGUUGCAUAGAGAAGUUGUUAUUGUUAUAUGUUUGGACUAAACAAUUCAAAUUAUUACUAAUAUAAUUAUCACCAUUGAUCAUCAAUGUUAUUGUUAUUGUUGUUGUUGUUGUUACAUGGAGAAAUUGUUAUUGUUGUAUGGAGAAGUUGUUAUUGUUGUUAGAGAAGUUGUUGUUGGAUGGAGGGAUGGUAGAGAGCUUUUUUUGUGUAGGGUUAAUUAUUAUAUUUUGGUUAUAAUUUUGGAAUUGGAAAUAAAGGCAAGUUUUAGAAUGGUUGUUAUUAUGACAUUCAACCAAUGAUUUGUAGGUUUCUAUUUCCUUGGUUUUGCUCUAUUAAUUUUUAGUUUAAUACUCUUUUUUUCCUUAUGGAAUGUUAUUAGUCAACUAAAUUUGAUAAUAUAGGAAAGUUGUAAGAAGAAAUUAAGGCAUUUACAAGUGGUUGAUAUUAAAUGUCUUAUAUUACUAGAUAUGAUGAUUUAUGAUUGAAACUAAUUAUAAACCAUACCUAUUGGUAUCUUCAUAUAUUUAUUAAUGAGAAAUGAGUUUCAUAUGUUAGACAUGAUAAGAAAAUAUUAUAUUACAUUCCAUAUUGUAGAAUUUAUACAAUUGAAAGUCUAACUUGUUUCCUCUAACUUAAUAAUGAACUAAAAGUCUAUUAAUAUUUUAUAAACAAGUGUCAAAUUAAACAAUUUUUCAUCUUCAUUAAUUGAAGCAUAACAUCUCAUUAAAUACCAAGUUAUUCUUAUUUGCACUUCUUUCAUGGGCCAUUUAUAGAUUUAAAUUUAACUUUCAUUGCAUGUAUAUUAACUAAUCAUAAUUUGUUUCUUCUAUUAAUUCUUUUUUUAAAUGUAUACAGGUAAAAGAUUUCAAGUUCAGGAGUGGAUAUGCAACCAACAGAAAUACUUUUGGCUAGAAAUACUUAUGGCUUCUUCUUCUUCUUCUUGUAAUAUUAUUUUUGAUAAGGAAUUUAGAGACCUUGUUUUUUGGUACAUGUGUACUUGUUUUAUGUUGAAGUUGGAAAAUAUGCUUGUAAAUAUUUUAAUACAUUUACAAAUUUGCAUAUUAAUUAACUAUAUAGACAUUAGUUCUUUAUCAUGAUAUUAUUC